AUGUUAAUUGCUAGAAAAUCAAAGGAUUAUGAUGAAAUUAACAUGAAACAAGGUGGUGUGGUUCAAGAAUAUGACUUUUCAUCUUCCUCAAACACAAACUCCUCCCUCCUCUCUUCUCACAAUGGCACAAGGUCUUCUCUUCCUUUACUGAUUAAACUCUUGCGCCGUACCAAACCUCUGUUCCCCGUGCUAUUACCAGCAAAUUCUCUUCACCUCUCGCGAAACUCAAUGGUGCAUCUCCAUCUUCUCUUCCCCUUCAAAGCCCAGCGCGACGGCGCUAUCUCUCCCGAAUCGUUCUCAAUAUGUCCGUCAUACCUCCGCCUCAUUAUCUUCGUCUUCAUUUUGCAUUCAUUCUGCCAUCAUAGACAAACAUUACGACGCCGUACGCCGCUUCUAGAGGCGAUAACUCAGGAAAGCAGCUGA